rnacentral:tRNA from 1 species
GGGAAGGUGGCUCAGUGGUAGAGCGCCUGCCUCACAUGCAUGAAUCCUGGGUUUGAUUCCUCAGUCCCA